rnacentral:rRNA from 1 species
UCCCUACGGGGCGCACCAGGCGCGAAAACUUUACAAUGCGGGCAACCGUGAUAAGGGAACCUCGAGUGCCUGUAAAUGCAGGCUGUUCAGGUGCCUAAAACACACCUGAAGAAAGGGCCGGGCAAGACCGGUGCCAGCCGCCGCGGUAAUUCA